rnacentral:rRNA from 1 species
AGUGAACGCUGGCGGCAGGCCUAACACAUGCAAGUCGAGCGGCAGCGCGGGGGCAACCCUGGCGGCGGGCGGCGGACGGGUGAGGAAUUCGUCUGGAUCUGCCUUUUUGUGGGGGAUAACGUAGUGAAACUUACGCUAAUACCGCAUACGUCCUACGAUCGAAAGUGGGGGACCGCACGGCCUCUCGCAUAAAGAUGAGCCGACGUCCGAUUAGCUAGUUGGUGGGGUAACGGCGUACCAAGGGGUGAAUCGUUAGAUGGUGUGAGAGGAUGAUCAGCUACACGGGGAGAGAGAAACGGCCCAGACUCCGACGGGAGGCAGCAGUGGGGACUCUUGGACAAUGGAGGAAUGCCUGAUCCAGCGAUGCCGCGUGUGUGAAGAAGGCCUUAGGGUUGUAAAGCAAUUUUGGUCGGAAAGAAAUACAUGGAGCUCAUACCUUAGGGGGAUGACGGUACCGGAAGAAUAAGCACCGGCUAACUUCGUG